GGCCAUCUAAGCUCAACUUUGGCUAAUCGGACUUCUUUUGCGUCGCCAUCGCUUCUCUGGCCACCACCCUUUCCAUUUCCAUUCUGUCAUAGUGUUGCCAACGAGAGAGAGAACUGCUACGAUUUCUUCCUUUUCGAUCGACACAGCUCGCCUUCCACGCUUCUAUCUCAUUUCCGGCAACACCAAACCUUAAUUGGCCAACCCACCUCAUCUCUAGCACC
rnacentral:lncRNA from 1 species